AUUGAACGCUGGCGGCAUGCUUUACACAUGCAAGUCGAACGGUAACAGGCCGCAAGGUGCUGACGAGUGGCGAACGGGUGAGUAAUGCAUCGGAACGUGCCCAGUCGUGGGGGAUAACUACUCGAAAGAGUAGCUAAUACCGCAUACGAUCUAUGGAUGAAAGCGGGGGACCGUAAGGCCUCGCGCGAUUGGAGCGGCCGAUGUCAGAUUAGGUAGUUGGUGGGGUAAAGGCUCACCAAGCCAACGAUCUGUAGCUGGUCUGAGAGGACGACCAGCCACACUGGGACUGAGACACGGCCCAGACUCCUACGGGAGGCAGCAGUGGGGAAUUUUGGACAAUGGGCGCAAGCCUGAUCCAGCAAUGCCGCGUGCAGGAAGAAGGCCUUCGGGUUGUAAACUGCUUUUGUACGGAACGAAACGGCUCUGGUUAAUACCCGGGGCUAACGACGGUACCGUAAGAAUAAGCACCGGCUAACUACGUG
rnacentral:rRNA from 1 species